UACGUAGGGUCCGAGCGUUGUCCGGAUUUAUUGGGCGUAAAGAGCUCGUAGGCGGCCAACUAAGUCGGACGUGAAAUCCCUCAGCUUAACUGGGGAACUGCGUCCGAUACUGGAUGGCUUGAGUUUGGGAGAGGGAUGCGGAAUUCCAGGUGUAGCGGUGAAAUGCGUAGAUAUCUGGAGGAACACCGGUGGCGAAGGCGGCAUCCUGGACCAACACUGACACUGAGGAGCGAAAGCCAGGGGAGCAAACGGG
rnacentral:rRNA from 1 species